CUAUACAUGCAGUCGAACGAGCUUCCGUUGAAUGACGUGCUUGCACUGAUUUCAACAAUGAAGCGAGUGGCGAACUGGUGAGUAACACGUGGGAAAUCUGCCCAGAAGCAGGGGAUAACACUUGGAAACAGGUGCUAAUACCGUAUAACAACAAAAUCCGCAUGGAUUUUGUUUGAAAGGUGGCUUCGGCUAUCACUUCUGGAUGAUCCCGCGGCGUAUUAGUUAGUUGGUGAGGUAAAGGCCCACCAAGACGAUGAUACGUAGCCGACCUGAGAGGGUAAUCGGCCACAUUGGGACUGAGACACGGCCCAAACUCCUACGGGAGGCAGCAGUAGGGAAUCUUCCACAAUGGACGAAAGUCUGAUGGAGCAAUGCCGCGUGAGUGAAGAAGGGUUUCGGCUCGUAAAACUCUGUUGUUAAAGAAGAACACCUUUGAGAGUAACUGUUCAAGGGUUGACGGUAUUUAACCAGAAAGCCACGGCUAACUACGUGCCAGCAGCCGCGGUAAUACGUAGGUGGCAAGCGUUGUCCGGAUUUAUUGGGCGUAAAGCGAGCGCAGGCGGUUUUUUAAGUCUGAUGUGAAAGCCUUCGGCUUAACCGGAGAAGUGCAUCGGAAACUGGGAGACUUGAGUGCAGAAGAGGACAGUGGAACUCCAUGUGUAGCGGUGGAAUGCGUAGAUAUAUGGAAGAACACCAGUGGCGAAGGCGGCUGUCUAGUCUGUAACUGACGCUGAGGCUCGAAAGCAUGGGUAGCGAACAGGAUUAGAUACCCUGGUAGUCCAUGCCGUAAACGAUGAGUGCUAAGUGUUGGAGGGUUUCCGCCCUUCAGUGCUGCAGCUAACGCAUUAAGCACUCCGCCUGGGGAGUACGACCGCAAGGUUGAAACUCAAAGGAAUUGACGGGGGCCCGCACAAGCGGUGGAGCAUGUGGUUUAAUUCGAAGCUACGCGAAGAACCUUACCAGGUCUUGACAUCUUCUGCCAAUCUUAGAGAUAAGACGUUCCCUUCGGGGACAGAAUGACAGGUGGUGCAUGGUUGUCGUCAGCUCGUGUCGUGAGAUGUUGGGUUAAGUCCCGCAACGAGCGCAACCCUUAUUAUCAGUUGCCAGCAUUCAGUUGGGCACUCUGGUGAAACUGCCGGUGACAAACCGGAAGGAA
rnacentral:rRNA from 1 species